rnacentral:rRNA from 1 species
AGAGUUUGAUUCUGGCUCAGAACGAACGCUGGCAGCGUGGAUUAGGCAUGCAAGCCGAACGGGAAGCCGUUGAUCAAUCUUCGGAGAGUGAUUCGGUGGAGAGUGGCGAAAGGGUGAGUAACGCGUGUAUAAGCUGCCCUCAAGUUGGGGACAACGUCUGGAAACGGGCGCUAAUACCGAAUGUGGUCUUGUGGCGCAUGUCACGAUGACUAAAGGUGGGGAUCCUUCGGGACCUGCCGCUUGAGGAGGCAUACGCGUGCCAUUAGCUUGUUGGUGAGGUAACGGCUCACCAAGGCUUAUGGCUAGCUGGUCUGAGAGGAUGAUCAGCCACACUGGGACUGAGACACUGCCCAGACUCCUACGGGAGGCUGCAGUCGAGGAUCAUUCGCAAUGCGCGAAAGCGUGACGAUGCGACGCUGCGUGGAGGAUGACGGCCUUCGGGUUGUAAACUCCUGUCAUUCGGGAAAAAUGGCCUCGUGUUGAUAAUGCACGGGGUAUGAUGGUACCGGAAGAGGAAGCCACGGCUAACUCUGUGCCAGCAGCCGCGGUAAUACAUGUGGCGAGCGUUGUUCGGAUUUACUGGGCGUAAAGCGUGUGUAGGCGGUUUCGUAUGUCGGAUGUGAAAGCCCAUGGCUCAACUAUGGAAUUGCAUCCGAAACUGCGGGACUAGAGUACAGUAGGGGAGAGCGGAAUUCUAGGUGUAGCGGUGAAAUGCGUUGAUAUCUAGAAGAACACCGGUGGCGAAGGCGGCUCUCUGGAAUGUUACUGACGCUGAGACACGAAAGUCGGGGGAGCAAACAGGAUUAGAUACCCUGGUAGUCCCGACCGUAAACGGUGUGCACUUGGUGUGGGGGGUAUUGACCCCCCCCGUGCCGGAGCUAACGCGUUAAGUGCACCGCCUGGGGAGUACGGCCGCAAGGCUAAAACUCAAAGAAAUUGACGGGGGCCCGCACAAGCGGAGGAGCAUGUGGCUUAAUUCGAUGCAACGCGAAGAACCUUACCUGGACUUGACAUGGUACUGCACGUCCUGUGAAAGCAGGAUUCCUUCGAGGGUGUAUCACAGGUGCUGCAUGGCUGUCGUCAGUUCGUGCCGUGAGGUGUUUGGUUAAGUCCAGCAACGAACGCAACCCUUGUGGUUAGUUGCCACCGCAGGUGAUGAGCCUGCGAGCACUCUAGCCAGACUGCCCGUACAAGCGGGAGGAAGGUGGGGAUGACGUCAAGUCAGUAUGGCCCUUACGUCCAGGGCUGCACACGUGCUACAAUGGUCGGUACAGUGGGACGCAAUACCGCGAGGUGGAGCAAAUCCCCAAAACCGGCCCCAGUUCGGAUUGGAGUCUGAAACUCGACUCCAUGAAGUCGGAUUCGCUAGUAACGGCGUAUCAGCUACGACGCCGUGAAUACGUUCCCGGGCC